rnacentral:rRNA from 1 species
CAGCACCUCAAGUGGUCAGGACGAUUAUUGGGCCUAAAGCAUCCGUAGCCGGCGCUGUAAGUUUUCGGUUAAAUCUGUACGCUCAACGUACAGGCUGCCGGGAAUACUGCAGCGCUAGGGAGUGGGAGAGGUAGACGGUACUCGGUAGGAAGGGGUAAAAUCCUUUGAUCUAUUGAUGACCACCUGUGGCGAAGGCGGUCUACCAGAACACGUCCGACGGUGAGGGAUGAAAGCUGGGGGAGCAAACCGGAUUAGAUACCCGAGUAGUCC